CAAGAACGGCUGGUGCAACAAAGUUCGCUUAUGUCCGAUUCCUGGGUGAUAAGAAAGUUUGCAGGACUGUAUCAUUUAGAGAGGACAUCAAAAAGUUUGAUCCCAAGACCCACCAUGACUCAAACGUGUACAAGAAGGAUAAGAUUGCCUGAGUAUAUCCCGGCCAACGCAAGAAACUGAAAAGCAUGAUGCCCCAACACCUAGUGGCCAAGAGUAAUAAAGUUAGUACUUCCAGGACAGCAAGGCAGCUGGAGGAUUGCACAGGACCCACUCAGAACCGGGAAACGCUACUGACCAUUCAGAGGCUGGAGGCAGAGAAGCCAGUCCUCGGCCAGCAGAAACUGGAGGCACAGAAUCUGGAGGAGUUUUCUUGGAUCAAUCAAGGCCUCCAGGAAAGGUUGGAGUUCCAGCUAUCAAGGCUCAAAUGCAGGCUUCAGGACCAAAUUUUUCAUCACCUGCACGCAGAGUAAUAUGCGUUCAGAUAACUGCAACCGUUCUGCAACAGCUAUUUUAGAGCUGAGGUGUCAUUAUAAGCAUAACCAUUACUCUUGGUUUCUGUUGCAGCCCACAGCAAUCUCGUGUGGGGGCACUGUAACCAUGCAUCUCAGAGCAACAACCCUGCCCAGGCCUGUACAGAUUGAAGCCGCACCAGCAUUUAUUCACACAUUCGGGGUAAGCACACAUGCGGAGGUACCUUACACAACAAUAAAUGGGAAAGUGUGAUUUUCUGAAUGUUCCAGAUACAAACUGGGCCAGUUCACUCACAAAUCAUCCUUAAAAGUGAUGGCUAUCUCAGGGGGUGAUAAGUAUAUUAUCUGCAUUCAUGCAGUCUGUAUAUGCACUGUAAUUUAGUCUGUAUUACAGAUCUUGCAUGCAGAACACUGACAUGUUCCUUUUGUUCCCCUGCAGGUUCACUUGCAGGGAGGUCUGGAGCUCAGUGAGCGUCGGUUAUUUUCCCAUUGUUUUUUUUUGUUUCAUUGCUUUUCGCUAUUUGUUUAACAUUAACAGUUUCAAUGCAUCAGUGCUUAUGUUCUCCCUCUUCCUUCUCCAUCUGCAACAUGUUUCACUCAUCAUUUGAAGAAGAAAGAGUUGAGUGAGGAUGAGAACAAAUUUGGCCUGAAAUCAAUCAGCAUUUUGUUAAGGCGCAUGAGUUUUAUUUGUGAUUUCUCACUUCUUUUCCAGGAAUAAAGUUAUCGGCCCUUUACUGAAACCUUCAUUCGGAGUUUUUUUUGGCCUGUGACCAAUGAGGAAUUUUAAUUUUGUAUGCUUGGCAUUUUUCACAAUAAAAUUUGCAUAGUUUUGUCG